GUGCCAGCCGCCGCGGUAAUACGGAGGGUGCGAGCGUUAAUCGGAAUUACUGGGCGUAAAGCGCAUGCAGGUGGUUCGUUAAGUCAGAUGUGAAAGCCCGGGGCUCAACCUCGGAACUGCAUUUGAAACUGGCGGACUAGAGUACUGUAGAGGGGGGUAGAAUUUCAGGUGUAGCGGUGAAAUGCGUAGAGAUCUGAAGGAAUACCGGUGGCGAAGGCGGCCCCCUGGACAGAUACUGACACUCAGAUGCGAAAGCGUGGGGAGCAAACAGGAUUAGAUACCCGUGUAGUCCC
rnacentral:rRNA from 1 species